rnacentral:piRNA from 1 species
UCUCACAGUUUAUUGGGUGAU